GCAAACAAAGACAGAACAUGAAGCACUGCCUUUAAAUGUGAUGUGAGCACAGAUGCUACAAGGAGGAGACGCAGCACCGGGGUAAACCGAGAGCUCCUCCACAGUGUCUCUGUGGAGCAGCAGAGCAGCGGCCUCCUCCUCUGACCGCUCAGACUCCGGUUUUUUCAGGACCCGCCCGACCUGCGGGAGGAGGACAGAGGAACCGGUCUGAAGACCUCCCUCUCGCUCUCUCGCUGUAGUAUUUUAGCUUUGCUCAAAGCUUUCCUCUGCGCCCGGGAAGAAACACCGGCGUCCUGCUCUUCCGCCAUCCUGUUUUCAAUCAGCUGACGAGAAGACGUCUAUU